GUGAGAAAAUAUGUAGUUCAUUAGAGUAGCAAAAAUGGUCAGAACAGGUGGUUAGAGUGGGCUGGCUUCGGGAGAGAGGUGUUGUGUGUGACACAGACUGUGAAGGAGAGACAGAUGACACGCAAUUUAACAAUGAAACCAUAAUCAAAAAGGUUUGGUCGUGAUAUUGCGCAGAACCUCAGAAUCACAGCAGCAAUCAAAUCAGGGUGUGUUGCAGAAAAGCUCCUGUUACUAACGUACUCCCAGUCAGUUAGCGACUCACAGGGAAUUUGAUGGAGCGGGGAAGGUGGCACGAAAUCCGCUUCGUAGUGCAGAGCGAACACCUGCCAAACCCGCAAGUCCUGCCGCCCCUAAAGGAGCGCAAUUCGCGCGGUUGUUCUACAUCACCGGCAGCCACUUAGCGCGCUUCCAUCGUUACAGCCUAUUUCCAUGCAAGACAGAGGGGCGUGGGUAAUUGUGUAUGUUCUCAACUCAUUUCCAUUUAUAUUUACGUUUAAUACUUACAAAUAAACAUAUUAUUUAUGUUUACAAAUACUAAGUAAUUUUUCAAAUAUUAUACAUAGCAAAAGGUUGUGAUGAUUUUUAACAAUAUUUAUUUAUAGCUAAAUGUACUAAAUGUUGAAAAAGUGGCAAGUAAAAAAGUGCUUAUUGACUUUACGAAAAACAAAAACCACAAGCGAGAUGUAACAGUUUUGUGGGCUUCUUUCCUUGUUUGUAGAUAUACAACAUCUUUUCAGUAUCGACAUUUUCUUUAUUCUGAACACAAGUCUCAAAAUAAAUGAAUAAACCAGCA